rnacentral:rRNA from 1 species
UAGUCCACACCGUAAACGAUGAGUACUAGAUGUCGGAUCCAUCCUACUGAUUCGGUGUCGUAGCUAACGUGUUAAGUACUCCGCCUGGGGAUUACGGCCGCAAGGCUAAAACUCAAAGAAAUUGACGGGGGGCCCGCACAAGCGGUGGAGGAUGUGGUUUAAUUCGAUGCAACGCGAAGAACCUUACCCAGGCUUGACAUCCCGCGCUACCCUAUGAAAGUAGGGGUUCUCUUCGGAGACGCGGUGACAGGUGCUGCAUGGCCGUCGUCAGCUCGUGUCGUGAGAUGUUGGGUUAAGUCCCGCAACGAGCGCAACCCUCGCCAUUAGUUGCCAGCAUUUAGUUGGGCACUCUAAUGGGACCGCUUGCCGAUAAGGCAGAGGAAGGUGGGGUAUGACGUCAAGUCCGCAUGGCCCUUACGCUUGGGGCCACACACGUCCUACAAUGGCCAGUACAAUGUGUUGCUAGACCGCGAGGUUUUGCUAAUCACAAAACGCUGGUCUCAGUUCGGUAUUGGU